rnacentral:lncRNA from 1 species
AAAUGGAGGGACGUAUAUAAAUUUUUGCGAAACUUUAGCAGACAUCACUUGAUGGUAGGAAAGUUCUGUUUUCUUAUACCCCAAAUAAAUCAAGCUGCUCGUCAUAAAAAUGUUCAAUUUAGAAUACAAUUCGAUUUCUUCAAAAUAUAUUCUGAACACCAGACAUGUUCAAUUCAAUAUUGUAGCCGUAAACAUGUUUAACUAUAGAAUGAUUCUGUUUUUAUUUUAUUUUUUAGUCUUGCUAGUAUUAUAGAACAUAUGUUUAAAUGUUAUUCAAUUAGAUGAUAAUAAAGUUUUG